UACCUGCCGGCGAGUGGCGAACGGGUGAGUAAUACAUCGGAACGUGCCCUGUAGUGGGGGAUAACUAGUCGAAAGACUAGCUAAUACCGCAUACGCCCUGAGGGUGAAAGUGGGGGACCGCAAGGCCUCAUGCUAUAGGAGCGGCCGAUGUCUGAUUAGCUAGUUGGUGGGGUAAAGGCCCACCAAGGCGACGAUCAGUAGCUGGUCUGAGAGGACGAUCAGCCACACUGGGACUGAGACACGGCCCAGACUCCUACGGGAGGCAGCAGUGGGGAAUUUUGGACAAUGGGGGCAACUCUGAUCCAGCAAUGCCGCGUGUGUGAAGAAGGCCUUCGGGUUGUAAAGCACUUUUGUCCGGAAAGAAAUCGCACUGGUUAAUAACUGGUGUGGAUGACGGUACCGGAAGAAUAAGGACCGGCUAACUACGUGCCAGCAGCCGCGGUAAUACGUAGGGUCCAAGCGUUAAUCGGAAUUACGGGGCGUAAAGCGUGCGCAGGCGGUUGUGCAAGACCGAUGUGAAAUCCCCGGGCUUAACCUGGGAAUUGCAUUGGUGACUGCACGGCUAGAGUGUGUCAGAGGGAGGUAGAAGUCCACGUGUAGCAGUGAAAUGCGUAGAGAUGUGGAGGAAUACCGAUGGCGAAGGCAGCCUCCUGGGAUAACACUGACGCUCAUGCACGAAAGCGUGGGGAGCAAACAGGAUUAGAUACCCUGGUAGUCCACGCCCUAAACGAUGUCAACUAGUUGUUGGGGAUUCAUUUCCUUAGUAACGUAGCUAACGCGUGAAGUUGACCGCCUGGGGAGUACGGUCGCAAGAUUAAAACUCAAAGGAAUUGACCGGGACCCGCACAAGCGGGGGAUGAUGUGGAUUAAUUCGAUGCAACGCGAAAAACCUUACCUACCCUUGACAUGCCACUAACGAAGCAGAGAUGCAUUAGGUGCUCGAAAGAGAAAGGGGACACAGGUGCUGCAUGGCUGUCGUCAGCUCGUGUCGUGAGAUGUUGGGUUAAGUCCCGCAACGAGCGCAACCCUUGUCUCUAGUUGCUACGAAAGGGCACUCUAGAGAGACUGCCGGUGACAAACCGGAGGAAGGUGGGGA
rnacentral:rRNA from 1 species